rnacentral:rRNA from 1 species
UACGGCCGCAAGGUUAAAACUCAAAUGAAUUGACGGGGGCCCGCACAAGCGGUGGAGCAUGUGGUUUAAUUCGAUGCAACGCGAAGAACCUUACCUGGUCUUGACAUCCACAGAACUUUCCAGAGAUGGAUUGGUGCCUUCGGGAACUGUGAGACAGGUGCUGCAUGGCUGUCGUCAGCUCGUGUUGUGAAAUGUUGGGUUAAGUCCCGCAACGAGCGCAACCCUUAUCCUUUGUUGCCAGCGG